rnacentral:rRNA from 1 species
CGGAGGAAAAGAAACCAACAGGGAUUGCCUCAGUAACGGCGAGUGAAGCGGCAAAAGCUCAAAUUUGAAAUCCCCCGGGAAUUGUAAUUUGAAGAGAUUUGGGUCCGGCCGGCAGGGGUUAGGUCCACUGGAAAGUGGCGCCACAGAGGGUGACAGCCCCGUGAGCCCCUUUAACGCCUUCAUCCCAGAUCUCCAAGAGUCGAGUUGUUUGGGAAUGCAGCUCUAAGUGGGUGGUAAAUUCCAUCUAAAGCUAAAUACCGGCGAGAGACCGAUAGCGAACAAGUACAGUGAUGGAAAGAUGAAAAGCACUUUGAAAAGAGAGUGAAAAAGUACGUGAAAUUGUUGAAAGGGAAGGGCUUGCAAGCAGACACUUAACUGGGCCAGCAUCGGGGCGGCGGGGAGCAAAACCACCGGGGAAUGUACCUUUCGAGGAUUAUAACCCCGGCCCUUACUCCCAUACUGCCCCGAGGCCUGCAAUCUAAGGAUGCUGGCGUAAUGGUUGCAAGUCGCCCGUCU